GGGGGGGUUGAGAUCUAAGUUAAUCAUUUUCAUUCAUCAUUAUGAUAAGAUUUAUUUAUUUUAUUUUUUUUUGGGGGGGGGGGUUGUUGCAUUGGCCAAUUUUGAUUAUUGGGGUUUACGCGGGCCAUAUCUAUCUAUGACGCGGGCGGCAUAUAUGAAUAUACACCACUGCGAGUUUAAUCCGAGAGGUAAAAAACAGUUGAACGAUAUAAUGAAUAGACAACAUCUAAAAAUAAGCAAAUGUAAAAUAUUGCGUAUUACUGAAGUAGACGUGACAUGGCAAGAAGGAAAGGACUACAGAAACAGAUUCCUCUUGAUGGGCCUAACGUUUCUACACUCACUGGAGACGUGGACGAUUAUGUUGAUAGUCGGCUAAUUGAUAUAAUAAGUUCCGAAUUAAGAGACAAAGUACAUGAAAAGAAGGAUCCAUGUAAGGCCAAAUGUAAGAGCAAGGACAUUGACUCAGUGCGGUGGAGAAAGAGGGACCAGUUGGGACGAUUGACUAUUGAGAAUCGAACUCCCUCAAUAGAUAUCACAUCUGAAUGUCGAAUGAGGUCGACACGACCUCAAUAUGAAGAUUCAUCAGAAGACAUUGCUGAUACAACAGAUGGCACUUCACCUCGACGGUUUGAGGAGACACUUCAAUUGAUUGACAAAAAUAUUCAAGAACUCAAGGAGAGCUUAGACAGCCCAGAUAUUUAUCCAUCAGAAACUUACAACAUACGGACCUGGGGUUUGCGGCAUGAACUAUGUGACGAAAAGUGGCAAAAAUCAAGACCACAUCUUUUACAAGCCAUGUUAACAAGCGGAAGGACACCUCAACAAGCUUGCCAACAGUGUCAACGCUGUUAUUCGAUGCAGAGACUGCCUCCCCAAAGAACUGUAUUGCAGUAACUGUGAUGUGUCACCAGUGCAUCACCAGUAUGUUCUACACAACAGGGAGUCAUUUGUGGGAGGCUUUUACAAAGCCAUGACACCGAAAUGCAUCGUUACAAAAGACAGCACUGGUGAACAUGUAGUUAGUGAGCAAGGUAUGUGACCGCUAUAUGGAUUGGAUUACAUUACAUAUCAAGUGUAAACUGUUACAAUUAAUAUUGAUGUCUGUUUUUCCAGAUUGUCUCCUACCAAUCGCUUUGCCCAACAAGAUUUGCU
ensembl:lncRNA